rnacentral:rRNA from 1 species
CCGGCGAUGUCCGAAUGGGGAAACCCAGUGCAAUUCGUUGCACUAUCGUUAACUGAAUACAUAGGUUAACGAGGCGAACCGGGGGAACUGAAACAUCUAAGUACCCCGAGGAAAAGAAAUCAACCGAGAUUCCCCCAGUAGCGGCGAGCGAACGGGGAGCAGCCCAGAGUCUGAAUCAGCUUGUGUGUUAGUGGAACGGUCUGGAAAGUCCGACGGUACAGGGUGAUAGUCCCGUACACCAAAAUGCACAGGCUGUGAACUCGAAGAGUAGGGCGGGACACGUGGUAUCCUGUCUGAAUAUGGGGGGACCAUCCUCCAAGGCUAAAUACUCCUGACUGACCGAUAGUGAACCAGUACCGUGAGGGAAAGGCGAAAAGAACCCCGGCGAGGGGAGUGAAAAAGAACCUGAAACCGUGUACGUACAAGCAGUGGGAGCACCUUCGGGUGUGACUGCGUACCUUUUGUAUAAUGGGUCAGCGACUUAUAUUCUGUAGCAAGGUUAACCGUAUAGGGGAGCCGCAGGGAAACCGAGUCUUAACUGGGCGUUAAGUUGCAGGGUAUAGACCCGAAACCCGGUGAUCUAGCCAUGGGCAGGUUGAAGGUUGGGUAACACUAACUGGAGGACCGAACCGACUAAUGUUGAAAAAUUAGCGGAUGACUUGUGGCUGGGGGUGAAAGGCCAAUCAAACCGGGAGAUAGCUGGUUCUCCCCGAAAGCUAUUUAGGUAGCGCCUCGUGAACUCAUCUUCGGGGGUAGAGCACUGUUUCGGCUAGGGGGUCAUCCCGACUUACCAACCCGAUGCAAACUACGAAUACCGAAGAAUGUUAUCACGGGAGACACACGGCGGGUGCUAACGUCCGUCGUGAAGAGGGAAACAACCCAGACCGCCAGCUAAGGUCCCAAAGUCAUGGUUAAGUGGGAAACGAUGUGGGAAGGCACAGACAGCCAGGAUGUUGGCUUAGAAGCAGCCAUCAUUUAAAGAAAGCGUAAUAGCUCACUGGUCGAGUCGGCCUGCGCGGAAGAUGUAACGGGGCUAAACCAUGCACCGAAGCUGCGGCAGCGACACUAUGUGUUGUUGGGUAGGGGAGCGUUCUGUAAGCCUGCGAAGGUGGCCUGUGAGGGUUGCUGGAGGUAUCAGAAGUGCGAAUGCUGACAUAAGUAACGAUAAAGCGGGUGAAAAGCCCGCUCGCCGGAAGACCAAGGGUUCCUGUCCAACGUUAAUCGGGGCAGGGUGAGUCGACCCCUAAGGCGAGGCCGAAAGGCGUAGUCGAUGGGAAACAGGUUAAUAUUCCUGUACUUGGUGUUACUGCGAAGGGGGGACGGAGAAGGCUAUGUUAGCCGGGCGACGGUUGUCCCGGUUUAAGCAUGUAGGCUGGUU